rnacentral:rRNA from 1 species
CGGGGUGAGUAAUGCUUGGGAAUCUGCUUAUGGAGGGGGAUAACUACGGGAAACUGUAGCUAAUACCGCGUAGAAUCGGGAGAUGAAAGUGUGGGACCUUCGGGCCACAUGCCAUAGGAUGAGCCCAAGUGGGAUUAGGUAGUUGGUGAGGUAAAGGCUCACCAAGCCGACGAUCUCUAGCUGGUCUGAGAGGAUGACCAGCCACACUGGGACUGAGACACGGCCCAG